UGUAGGGAGUGAGUUGAGCAUAGUUUGUGAUUUUUAGGGCCUCUAAAAGUAUUAAAGCAGCGGCAGCCGCUGCAUGCAGACAUGAGGGCUAGCCUAAAACAGUAAGAUCAAGUUGUUUGCACAGAAAGGCUACAGGGUGCGGUCCUGGCUCUUGUGUAAGAAUUCUGGCUGCAAUAACCAUGCCUAGGAAGGAAAGGAGUUGUUGUUUUGUAAGGGAUUGAGGUUUGGGAGAUUAAUUGGACACAAUCAGCAGGGAAAGCACGUGUGUUUUUAUGAGAAUUAUGCCGAGAUAGGUAACAGAUGAGGAUGAAAUCUGGACUUGACUGAAGUAAUGGGGGCUGUCUGUGAAGUCUUGCGGCAGUACAGCCCAGGCAAUUUGCUAAGCCUAACGGGUGUCAGGAUCAGCCCUCAGCUCACCUGUUAGCUGAAAGUGCUAAUGAACAGUAAAACAAACAAACAAACAACAACAACAAAAAACUAAAAUGCAAGCAUCAAGAUGAGAAACAAAGUAAGAAAUGAGGAAAAAAUGAUUUUCAAAUAAUAGAAGUUCACUGCAUUUAAAGAGAAGGAAAAAAGUAAAAAUAAAACGUAAUUUUGAAUUUUACACAAAUUUAUUUUACUUGUCUUUUUCUUACACAAAUAUGUAUUUUUUUUAGUUAAAUAGAAUACUGUCAUUAAUGAUUUUAAAAGGUAAAACAGAUUGAAUUAGUUUAUUUGAGGAAAGAAAAUAUCUGGGGAUUUCACUACAAAUAUCACUUUCGUUUGUUGAAUUGGAAAAUCCAUAAUUUAAUUGGCUACAAAGUCUGACUUCCAUGUGAGCACUCAAUAUAUAUUUUACAGUAUUAUUUCUGUUCACAUUAUCAUUAUUAAUUACAGCAUUGAGUUGUUAAGAAAACAGAACCUAAGUUUGAGAUCUGGCUCCAGUAACUUGCUUGGGCAAGUUGCAUAACCUCCUGGCUUCACUUUCCUCAUCUUUAAAAACAUGUGCUCCUUUUCCAUCUUUAUAUCCUGUGUAAAAAUAGCAGUGAACCCUUUAGCUGUGAAUGGAGUUAAACAUUUAAAAUUUUUAAAAGAAAACCUACUAUUAAAGCCUUCUAAAAUGUAUUUUUUUUUUUUUUUUUACUUUAGCAGGUAAGCUUUAACAUGUUUCAUCAAUUCCUCGGCCACUCCCUUUACACCUUGGUGUGUCACUAAGGCCCCUUGUAAAAGCUGAGUUGUCCUGAGAUACAAGAAUUAUCCUUCUUCUCUCUACUAUAAAUAGUAGUCUAAAUUCUUACAUAACAUUACAGAGCAGAGUCAAAGAGAGAAAGAGAAACAGGGAGAAUGAAAUAGAGAAAAAUCACAUUUAAAAUAUUUUUUUCUAGUUAAAAUUUAGGGGAAUGUUCACUAUAUUCUAAUGUUUCCAUCUAAUGGAAAACAAGAAACAUCAGAAUUCACACACAGAGAGACAGAAACACACACACACACACACACACCCCUGUACACAUACACAGUCCCUUAAAAAAUAAAAUAGAAAAAGGAGUAAUUUUAGUAUAAGAUACAUAUGACAAUUUGAGAUGUAGGACAGGAAUUCUUUGAUAUUUUAAAGGCAGGGCUUUUUUAGAGAAUGGAGGAAAGAAACAGGUCAACUGUGUUUCAUGCAUUAAACACAUUUUAACGAUUUGAAGCUGAGCUCUUCAGGAUUGAAUGCUAUUAUGAUUUAUGUUCUAAGGUUGGAAAAUUAUUGCCUAAAUGCAGCAAGAAUAUUGAAAAAGAAAAGAAAUGCUGGAAAAAUAAAAUGUAAAAUAUAUAAAUAGCAGAGUGGUAAAUUUAUAUGUAUUGACUAUAUCUAGCCUUAAGCUUAAAAAAAAACUAAAAAAGUAAUGUUUUAUAAUCCACAUCUUUGCCCUGACAAAUAUGAAUGCUAAAUCAAUUUUUUAUUAAUAUUAUUGACUUUCAGGGUUCAUAUGAGAUGAAGCACUUUCAAUAAAUGUCAAAUAAGUGUUAUUUUAAUGUAUGUUCAAGUAAGUCAAAUAAAUGAUACUAUUCCACUUUGACCUUCUAGGGAUCGAAAUUACUAUAAAGAUGUUCCACAUGUAAAAAAUUAUGUCUAAUUUACAGCUAACAUUUCUGUGGUGGAAAUGGGUAUAAAAGCAAAGGAACUUAAACUAGGACACAGUAGUCCACCAGUGUCCAAGUCAAUUUGGUUAGGAAUAAAUGGUUGGAGUCUUCAUAGUUAAAACCUUCCUUGCAAUAUCUUUGCUGUAAAUGCUUUUAAUAACUUCUAACACUCUUGUUAGAGACACCUACAUGGGAGGAUAAAUCCAACAAAGUCCACUCUUUAAAAAUUAAAUAAAUCAACAAAUAGGACAAAUGGGUGAGAAAUAGUAGGCUAUGUAAAUAAUUCUAGUGAGAGACAUUGCACAUCUCUAAGCAUAUUUUUUAAUUAAUAAAUAAUUUUAAGAUCUAUUUUAAACAGUUCAUGGGAAAGUUUUAUAUGCAAUCUCUUACAGAAAAAUCAUAAGAAUAGUAGUUUACCGUACAUAUUAAGAGUUUAUUCACUUAGACAACUCCAAGAGGUUCUCCUUGUUGCUCAGAGAUGGUUGCAUUGACAGAAUACUUGUAACAUUAUCAGUUUUCUCUUGUGCCUUGCUCCAGUUCUUUACAAUAUCUAAAACCAUGAAUUCGGAGAUUGAUAGGGCUAAUAAGGACUUUAUAGAUCAAUUAGUCCAACCAGUUCAGGCUACAGUUAGAACAGUAAUAUGGAGAGAUUUAGCCCCAAAGUAAUAUAGUUUUGGGAAAAUGUAAAAAAAAAAUGAAAAUAAACUAACCAGGUAUCUGGCCAACUAUUCUAGUGAUAUCAAGAUAUCACUAAUUCUCUAGUGAUUUUAAGAUAACCUCCAUAUCUAUGCAUUUAUCAUUGGAAGCUUUGGCAUUGCUGAAAGGAAGAAACUGGUGAAAUAAAAAGUUGUUGAAAGCAGUCAAACAGUAAUUCCACCACUUCCAGGGAAGGUUGAUGAUAAUUAAAUGCUAAGCUUAAUGAGAUAUUAAAUAUUAAAGCUAAGCUUAGUGAGAAAUUGACAUGUUAUUAAUAGGAUGCUUAAGUCAGUUUAGAGGUUUUUACUACAAAGAAAACAAUACAAUUACACAAUUAAGAAAAAUAAGAAUAAACAUUCUAUAAGACUAGUUUCCUAGUGCAAAUAGUUUUAAAGAGCUAAUUCUUACUAUUUAUAGGAGGGUUAAAUAAGGUCAAUUCAAAGCACAAAAACUGGCCAGGUGCAGUGGUUCUUACCUGUAAUUCCAGCACUUUGGGAGGCUGAGGCAGGAGGAUCACCUGAGCCUGGGAAUUGGAAACCAGCCUGGGCAACUACAAAAAAAUUAAAAAUUAGCCAGGCAUGGUGGUACCUCUCGGUACUCCUAGUUAUUCGGGAGGCUGAGGUGGGAGCAUUGCUCGAGCUCAGGAUGUCCAGGAUACUAUGAUCUAUGGUUGUGCCACUGCAUUCCACCCUCCAUGACAGAGCGAGACCCUGUCUCAAAACAGACAAAAAUUAUAACUUGAAAAACCUCAACAGUGUUUAUAAUUGUAUUCCUUAAAAUGUGCCAACAAGCAGAAAUGCGGCUUUUGAAAAAAAAAAAAAAAGAAAAUAGAUCACAUAAAUAAUGGAUGUAACUCAAUGCACAUACUAUCACUAUAUGAAUAUGUUGAUGUAAAGUAUUGAAUCAAGGAUUAAAUUGAAUGAAAACAAAUAUUUAAAAUACAUAACAUGCUAUAUUUAAUUAUACAUUGAUUUUUAUGAGCUUUACAUGAAAUAUCAGAAUAAUUGUACUGGUUGUUAGAAUAGAAAUUUAACAGGCCUUUCCAUUAGAAAACCUAUUUUCUAAACACACCUGUUCAACCGAAUGUCAUUGGCCAAAAAACCCUUGUGAAGAUAAAGUAAGCAUCUUUAUUUUAGACAAAAUUAUAAAAUAAAAGAGGAAAUGUCAAACAUACGAAGCCACUUAGUUAUUUACACUCAGUUACAGAAGGAAGAAUGAGUUCAAAUGAAGGCAUAGAAAAAGAAACACUGUGGCCAGGUGUGGUGGCUCAUGCCUGUAAUCCCAGCACUUUGGGAGGUCGAGGCAGGCAGAUCACCUGAGGUCAGGAGUUCAAGACCAGCUUCCCCAACAUGGCAAAACACCGUCUCCACUAAAAAUACAAAAAAUUAGCCGGGCGUGGUUGUGGGCUCCUGUAAUCCCAGCUAAUUGGGAGGCUGAGGCAGAAGAAUCUCUUGAACCCAGGAGGCGGAGGUUGCAGUGAGCCAAGAUCAUGCCACUGCACUCCAGUCUGGGUGACAAGAGCAAAAAGAGAAAAGAAAAAGAAAUACUGUGCUGACCAGGAAGUGGUUUUAAUAGUCUUGAUAAUUUGAGGAAAAUAUGAAGUACAGUUAAAAACAAAAGAAGUUAGAAGGAUGUUUUGUGUCCUGGUUGUUAAUUUAGAAACAAAUGGUUCAUUACACUGUCCAGAGAGGUAUAUCCUAGAGCAAAGUUAGGACAGUGUCUCUCAGGAGGUUUUGAGAACACAAAUUCGAUGACAGAGGACAAGAUUAAGUGUUAUAUCUUGGGCAGGAGCAAUUUAAUGACAGGUUCUCUAUAGUUCUUUCAUUUCAGAGAUAACAUAUUGACCAAUAUAUUGACACUUUAAUUUAGUGUCACUCAGUGAUUAUGCUCCCAAUACUGCCAAAUUUAAAUUCAGAUUGGCAUUAUGCAACACAUCAAUAUUUUAUAUAUGUUCAAUAGUGUCAAGGCACAACUCCAAAUUCACAUUAAGAUUAAAGUCACAUGCAGUUUUAGGAAAAUAGCUUAAGUCUGUUAUAGAUGUUUGUAGUUGAAAUUUUUUUAAGGGAAGAUUGCAAACUUAUUUUGUAGAAGGAAUCUUUAAUAUGGAAGAAUAAUUAAAUGUGUUUAUGUGUUUAGGAAAAUAUUUUAAGCCUGUAAUAGAUGUUCUUAGCUGAAAUUUUUUAAAGGGAAGAUUGCAAACAUUUAAUUGAAGGAAUCUUAAAUAUGGCAGAACAAUUAAAUGUGUUUAUAUCUUAGUUAUAAAAACAGUGUAGCCAAGAGUGCAUGUAGGCUGUAAUGUUUAUAUUUUAUCUCUUGUAAUAAGAAUCAGAAACUAAGAAUUCUUUGAUAUUUAGUAUAUCAUUUUGCCAUAGUGUUAAAGUUAUAUUCAAAGAAUAUUCUAUAUGAACAAUAACUAUGAUGUCUAUAUUAUAGCCAUUCCUUGAGAAAUAACAUAUUUCAAUCUGGAGUAGAAAAUGUGCUUGAGUGCUAAGGUGAAAGAAUUAUAGAUUUCUUCAGUUCAAAGGGAAAAAAACUCUCUGUAAAUGUCUCAGUCCUUAUGCAUUUGAACAUUAACAGCAGCAAAAGCAAUAAUAAUUUGUUACUUUUGUGCUUGACAUACUUAUUUUUAAAUGAUAAAAAGUUACUGGUGACAACAGAAUGAAAAUAUAUAACUAUAAAAUAUAUAUUGUAUACACGUUUUACUCUAAGUUAUAUUUAAAAUACUAAGUUAAACUUUUUAUUUUCUCAAAUGAAAAAUGUAGGGCUAUUUUGAUUAAAGUUAAGCUAAUUAUCUGAUUAUAUUUUAUUUUAAUCAAUGAGAAUAAUGAAAGAUUACAUAAUUAUUGUUAAAGACAUGCAAAAUAAUGGAGCAUAGCUAGUCUUAACUAAUAUUAAUUAAAUGCUCUGUAAUGAUUUAUUUACAUUAUUGUUCAAAAUUAGAAAUAUUAAUAAUGUAUUAUGUCAGCAUUAAAAAGUUUUACCUCAAAAAAGAGAGUCAUGAAAGGGCAACUUAAAACUAUUAGGAAGAACCACAUAAUAUUGCAUAGGCUUCGAGUAGAUAGCAAAAAUAAAAAGGCUUAAAACAAGUUAGUUCUAUCUCCUGAUUUCUACUUUUAAGUAAAUGACAACAUCACUAUCUGUUUACAUUGAAGCUAUAAUAAGAAAUUAAUAUGGAAUAUUUUCUUUCCUUGUCCUAAUUCAGCCUGAUAUUAUUUUAUAAAGGUUUUACAUGUAAAAAUUUUUAAGGUUUGCAUUAGCUUUAUGAGUUACCGUAAUGCCACUGAAAAUGUUACUACUCCCAUAUGUAUCAUGUCAUACAGUCAUUUCCCCACUUUAUUUUUAUUGCCCUACACUCUCGUUCAUACUCUCCUUUUUCCUUGGGAUUAUUGGGUUAACUCUGCCUAUAAUUUCUGAUCCUUGCCUAUAUGAAAAUCAAUGAGUCCCAUACAUUAUUACUAAUAUAAUCAUUCAUGAAUAUAAUUUUGAUCAUGUCAUUGUUCUUAGAAAUAUUUUCAAAAUUUUUUUGUCCACCAGUAUAAUAACCCAUAACCUAUUUUAUAUCUAUUUCCCAAAUGUAUCAUAUGAUAUCCUAAGAUAUAGGAGUAAUAAUUCUAUAGGAAUAAAAACCUAUAUACAUAGAAAUUCUAUGAUAGAUAAUUCAAUGACAUAUAAAUAAUAGCUUAUGAUAACAAAAUAUAAAUAAUAAUAUUUUAUUGCAAAUAAUAUACUGUUCUCCUGAGCUGUAAACAUUUCAUGCCUUGGUUUUGUUGUUCUUUUGCCUAGUUCAGACUCCUGCCUCACAACCGUAAAAUUUUCUAAGAUGUUCUGCAGCUAAUAUGGAGUACUAAGUUAAAAACAAGUGAUCAUUUUCUUAGAUAACAACUAUAAACUAUACCAAGUGCAAAAAUCAAUACUGCUGGAUGAUUCUAAUGAGUGAAUAAAAGCAGGCAGAUUUUGGAGGGUUCUCAAAACAUGUAACAAAUCAUCAUAAAAUAAAUUUCCCAUUUUUGUGUCUUUGCUUUGGAGGAAGACAUGGUUACAUCAGUUAUGUCAUAGAACAACUAAAACUCUAAGAGAAAGCUCACCACCCUCUGUCGAGAGAUACCAGGGAAGGAGCUGGAACAACUGGGACCACCUGAGAUUGAGGAAGGCAGCCUGGCAAAAAUAGGGCCAAGAAGAGGAAAGCUAAAUUCCGUGCAUAAAUGUUAUUCAAAUUUCUGGUAACUUACGAACCAGAUGAGUAUGAAGCAGAUUUAAAGCAAUAUCAACUGAGGUCUGAGCCACAGUCCACUGCAAGUAUGACACAAUUUGAAGUCUGAAUCUAGCGAAGUUAAUUGUCACCAAAAACAUAAACGUCAACAUUGUUUGGAGUACUAUAAUAGAAUCUUAAGUCUCCACAAUAUAACAUCCAGUGUAAUCUAAAACUACUCCAUAUAUGAAGAAUCAGAAAACUUGAACUUUUCUCAAGGGAAAAGAACAGAGUUCAGUCUCAAAAUAACACAGAUGAUGAAAUGAUGAGAUUAUUAAGUUUGGAUAUUAUAGCAACCAUUGUAACUAUGUUCAGUGUGUUUAAAGGAAGAUAGACUAUUACAAAUGAAAAUGUAGGAAAUUCCAGCAUAUAAAUAACACACACACAUACACACACACAACACAUUAGAACUGAAAAGUUAAAUAUCUGAAAUUUUAAAAUUUGUCAUAGGGACUUAAUAGAGGACUGAAGAUAUUAGAGUAAAAUGUCAAUGAACUUGAAGACAGAACAAUAAAAAUUAUCCAACUUUAAGAAGAGAGAAAAACAAGAUAUAAUAAAGAAUGUGAACUGAACCUCAGGGCCAUGUGGAAUAAUAUCAAACAUGAAACAUAAAGGUCAUUGGAUUCCCAGAAAGAGAGGAGAGAUAGGAUGUAGGAGAAUAGUAUUGGAAGAAAUAAUUGCUCUAAACUUCUCAAAUGUGAAAGACCAAAAAAAAAAAAAAAAAAAAAUUAAAGAUUCAAAAAGUUAGCUAACCCCCUAAAAGGAUAAUUACAAAAUCUAUUUCAGGCAUGAACACAGACUAGUUAAACUCUUGAAAAAGGAAAACAAAGAAAAUAUCUCAAAAAAAACAGCUGUAGAAAUAUUCUACAUGAUUUAGAGAAAAACAGCAAUUUGAUCAUCAUUUUCUCAUUAAGAGCAAUGAAGGCUAGAAGACAGUCGAAUAACAAAUUUCAAAUGCUGAGAAAAAAACAACAACCUGUAAACCAUGAUUUUGAUAUAUAGAAAAAAUAUAGUGCCUAGCAAUAAACUAGAAAACAUUUAGCAAUGAAAACCUAAUUUAUUAUAACCUAUAAUUUGAUGAUGUUACUUUAACAUACAGUUUUCUAUCAGGGAUUAAGUAGACAAGUAAAAGAGAUCACAAAGAAUUUUAAACCAACCAAAAGGCAAAAUAAUUGAUAAAUAUAAAAUUUUUACUUAUACAAACAAAUGUCUCCAAGUGUUCAUAGAGCACUACAAAAUAUUGUCCCAAUCUAGUGUACAAGGAAAAGGAGUUAGCUUAUGAAAUUAACAGAUGUAUUGAAAACAGAAAUAAAGCAACAAAUCUAACAAAAUUAUAAGUUAAUGUUAAUUUACUAGUAAUUAAAAAUAGAAUUUUAAUGAAAGAAAUAAAAGAAGCACUAAUUAAUAAUUAAAAUGCAUAGAAAAACUUGGGAAAUUAAAUACAUGAUCAAUAAUAAAAAUAUACAACAAUGGAAUUGAUAAUUAAGACAAAAUGUUUUAAAAAUUAAAAUUGGAAUAAUUACUUAAAAAGUAAACAAUUAUUAAAUAUCAAAUCCAUUCUACUGGAAUUGGAAAUCUGAGUAAAUUAAUGGUUAUAAAAAAUGUAAUUAUUCAUAAAUUGUCAUAAGUGAAAUUAUCAUCUCUCAUAAUAUAUUAUAAAAACAUUAUAAUUGAUAUAAGAAGAGACAGUGAACUUCAUAGAUCAACCAAAAUGGAAGAGAUACAAAAAUGAAUUCUGGCAAAAUACCACAUCCAGAAGUUGUAUUGAAGGAUUGUACCAAACGGUUUCACAGAAUAAAUUAGUCCCAUGCUACACAAAUUAUUUCAGUGCACAGAAAAAGAUAAAAACUUCUUUGCAAAGAGCUAGUGAAGAGUUCACAUGGGGGACAUGUCUGGACCACCAGUCUCUCAGGCACAGUCAUCCAGGUGAGUUGCAUGUGUUCAGAUAAAAAAUACUAAAGUUAAAUUAGCACCUUAUCACAGUAAACGUGUUCUGAUACCUAUUGUUACAGAAUCGCAGGUCCAAGAAAGUUCUUAUUAGAUGAAAUCCUGUAAUGUAUUUGUGCUAAAUGAUUGGUAAGUAAACAGCUUCAGUGAAACUACUUUUAAGUGAAAAAGUUGAAAUCCACAUCCACUUUCCAAAGUACUGAAUUAUAUAUGAAAUAUUUAACGGAAUGUGAAAAUAAUCCGAAGCUAUCCAUCAAGACCAACAAUAUCUGCCAGGCUUGAGGUAAUCUACAUUUUGUUUAUUUAUUUAUUUAUUUGAGAUGGAUUCUCGCCCUCUCCCCCAUGCUGGAGUGCAGUGGCGCGAUCUCAGCUCACUGCAACCUCCACAUCCUGAGUUGAAGCGAUUCUCCUGCCUCAGCCUCCUGAGUAGCUGGGAUUACAGGCACCUGCCACCAUGCCUGGCUAAUUUUUGUAUUUUUAGUAGAGAUGGGGUUUCGCCAUUUUGGCCAUUUUAACUAAUAAAGCCUAUGGAUCAGGGAGUUCAUGUGGAGGUCAUGCCUAGAUUCUGAAACUGUAACCCAUACUCUAACUCAUAGAUGUAAAUAAGAUUGAACAUGUACAGCAAUGUGAAUGAGUUCACAAGUGAAUAUUAUAUUGAUAAAUACCACAGUGAGUCAAACCCUAAGACAAUACAGUUGCCACUAGCCACAAGUGGCUAUGGAGCACUUAACAUGCAGUUAGUCUAAAUUAAGAUGUGCAAUAUGUAUAAAAUACACACUGCUUUUGAAGGCUAACGAAGGAAGGAGGGAAGGAAGGAAGGUGGGAGAAAAAGAAAGGAAGGAAGAAAAGGGACGGAGGGAAAGAAGAAAAUAAAAUUUCAUUAAUAAUUUGUAUAUUAAUUACAUAUUAAAAUGUUUUUUGUUAUAUCAGUAUAAACAAAGUACAUUGCUAAAAUUAAUUUCACUGUUUUAUGUUGCUACUAGACAAAUUAAAAUUAGGAAAAUGGCUCUCAAUAUACUUCUGUUGAACAGUAGUGUCUCAGAAACAUUUGUCUUUAAGUCAGAUUUCCUUAGGGUUUCUCAUGUUUCUCCAGAUAUUCUGGCUGCCUCAUCCACAUCUGGUUUGCAUGCUAUACACAGACUAUCUUUUUAGAGACUUAUCUCUGCACUGAUUUUCCACUUUUUUAAAUCUUACUAUGUAAUUUAUUGACUAAGUUAAUAAAUGUGUAAUUUGUAUGAGCUCCGACCAACACUAUCCAUAUACAUCCAAUAUGCCCUAGUAACAAAACGCAUAUCAAACAAACAAAAUCCCAAUUUAAGACCCUGAACCAGAUUUAGUAAAGGUCACUAUUUUUUUAAAAAAGUUAAGUAAAAUAUUAACAUAUAUAAUUUGGUCAUUUAACAAAAGACCUACCAAGUAUUUACUUGGUAAUUUACUUAACUUCUUUUAUAGGACCAACUUAUCUAUUAUUGGAAAGAUGAUUAUGUCAGGAAACCCAUUGAAAGUAUGAAAGCGUAUUGCAAUUAAGAAAUCAAUGGGAAAACUAUUUGAAGUUUUAUCGUAUCAUUAUUUUUGAGAAAGAUAUAAAAUCAUUAUAUAUUUCCUCAUAAAUAUAUUUAUAGACAAUAUUUUUUCUUUAACAAAAGGGUAUUAAUGUAUUAAAAACUGAAGAAAUAGAUGUCUCCAUAACAUUAAGAAUAAGACAAAAACAUCCUGUUUCUCAGUUAAUAAUUGACAAAAUUUUAGUCAUAAUUGCCAGUUAUAUAAGAGAGGACAUAGAAAUCAGAUAAAAAGUAAGAUUCAAGUAGGGAAAAAUCACUGUUCCUUGUGGAUAACAUAAUGAAGAAAUAUUUUAGGAUAAAUCAUAUUCAAGGGUGACUAUAUAUAAGUUAAAUAUACAAAUAUCAAUAAUUGUUCUAGAUUUUGACAAUUACUGGUCCUAUUUCUCACAAUAAAAUAUUAGUAUACAGGAAUGACUUUAGAAGUUAAGUGCUUUGAGGAAAAAACUAAAGCUAAAAAUAAAAGAAAAAGGGAAUACUGCCUAUAUAUAUGUGUGUGUGUAUGUGUGUGUAUGUGUAUGUGUGUAUUUUUGAUAAAUAAAAAGAAGUGUCUACUUAGUAGAAAUACAUUAUAAUGUAAAUAUAUAAAUUCCUUCCAAAGUAAUUUGUAUAUUGAUGAAGAUCUAAUAAAAAAUUUAUUUGUCUUAUUUUUAGCUGAUUCUAAGAUUCCUCUGGCAGAAUAAAUGGAGGCACUAGCCAAAAUAAGUAUGACAUUGAAAAGAAUUAAGCAGAGAUUUUCCUUACCAGAUGUCAAAACACAAAGCCACAGUAGUUAAUUGGGUUUGUCUGGCAGAGAUGCCCAUUUUUGUGUCCAAAGUUUAUUUUCUUUAGUACAAAGAGUUUUACUUAGGUACAUGGUUGUUCAGCUUAGUUUGCAUUUCACAUCUCUUCUGGCUACAUGUGUCUUUGUGACUAGUUUCUGGCCAAUGAGUUUUAAGCAGCAGUGAUAAUGUACAGUUUCUGGGUUGUGGCCUUCAAAGACAGGAAGCUUGGCAGCUCUUUUUUGAAAUGGUUGUCUUGUACUAUUGGUGUGAAGCUGUUUGCCUGGGAUAGCAGAGCAAUGAAAUGAAGCACCUGGGUUCCCAAUACCACGAAAAUUUCACAUCAGGACUAUUACGCGAGAGUAACAAAUAUCCCUAUUCUAAAAAUCACUAUUUGGCCUUUAUUAAUUGAUGCAGUAUCCUAAUUAAUGCAGUAUAACUCAUUAAAAAUGUUCUGAUAAAUAAAAUAGGUUUCUGCAAGAAUUUUGUAAUGAUAGUCACAUACCAGUGAGAUAUUUUUAAAACAAGCUACUUGUGAAAACUAAAAAGUUGAGUCUGUACAUCAUAUCACCAAAUAAAUUGAGACAAUCAAAAAGUUAGAGGUAAAAUAUAAAACAAGUAAAACAAAAGAUAGCAAAGAUUCUUCAGCCUGUCAACUGAAGAUUUUUUAAAAUAUAAUAGAUGGAAUUAAAUAAUACAUUUGGUAUGUAUAACUUCAUAAAAAUUUAAAACUUGGUAUGUAAAAGAUCAUAUGCAAAAUUAAGGGUCAAAGAAAAUACAAAUGUCCAAGCAGUUCUAGUAUUUUAAAAUUAUAAAAAUAAUUUUUGUUAUGCUGAAACUUACCUAGAAAGAGUUGGAAUACAUAUGAAAGUCACCAUUUAUAGAAAUUUCAAAGAUAUAUUUUGGCCAUUCUAAAAAAUAUUUGUUUUAGAAUAAACAAGUUAUUCACAUUAAGGAUCAUAUGAAAAUAUUGAAAUAUGAAAACAGAGAGGGAAGAAGAUGAUGAGCUUCAUGUUUACUCAUGGAAUAUGAAAACCACCCAUUAUGACUUUUAGUUAAUAAAUUAUUAUGCAAGGAUAGAAAUGGAAAGAACAUCAAGAUGAUUGUUCUGAGAGAAAAAAUCAUGGAAAUGUAUGUGUAGUCUAUAUUUGCUGCAUAUAUUGUGUGAUAAACUUUAUUUACAUAAAUAACAAUUCACAUGCAUGUAUUUCAUUUUACCAUUUAGCUUUUAGUAUUUCUGUAGAUGUUUUUUAAAUCUCCUGGCAUAUUUUUAAAAAUUCAACUUGUAUAAAACCUUAUUAUUUUCCCACCAGUAUGCUAAGUCUUCACAUUUAAGCUAGUCCAAGAAAGAUUGUAAAAUAACCUUUUGCCUGAUUUACAGAAUAGAAAAGUUUGCUUAGCUCCAAGUUAUUUAUUAAUAUUUUCCAUUUACUCAAAACUAGAAAAUAGCUGAACUUAAUGCAUUGUUAAAAUUGAUGUUGAAAUCAUUAUGUUAGGCCGGGCGUGGUGGCUCAUGCCUGUAAUCCCAACACUUUGGGAGGCCAAGGCGGGUGGAUCACCUGAGGUAGGGAGUUCAAGAACAGCCUGACCAACAUGGCAAAACUCUGUCCCUACUAAAAAUACAAAAUUAGCUGGGCGUGGUGGCCCAUGCCUGUAAUCCCAGCUACUUCGGAGGCUGAGACAGAAGAAUUGCUUGAAUCCGGGAGGCAGAGGUUGCAGUGAGCCGAGAUUGAGCCAUUGCACUCCAGCCUGGAUAACAAGAGCAAAACUCUGUCUCAAAAAAAAAAAAAAAAAAAAAAAAGAAAUAAUUAUGUCUAUCUAUAUUAUAAGUAGCAAAACUCUUUGAGUGAAAUCGUCAAUAUUUCCCCAAAUACUAAGAAAUGCCAAAUACCUAAAGUACUUUCAAUGCCACAGUGUUAAAAAACUUAUCUUUUACAGUUAAAGCUAGGUGAGAGCAAAUGUGUUGCUUUUUCAAAAGGACACAGAAAGAUUAUCAGGGAGUAGCACUUUGUUUUCACUAGGAAACACCUGAGAUCAGACUCAGAGAGCUAAUGCAGACCAUGAGACUAUAAAUACGAGUUAAUAUAUAACCUCUUCUUUAACCAAUGUCUACUUUGUUCCCUGUUCAAAAAGUGUUUGAUGAGUAAGUAGACAACAGAAGAAAGGGCAGGAAGGAAUAAGCAAGGGGCAAAGGGAGGGAGAAGGGUGAGAAUUUUUUGAAGGACAACAUUUGAAUAUAGUAGUCCCUAAUUAUUUGCAGUUUCAUUUUCCAUGGUUUCAGUUACCUGUGAUCAGUGGAGUUCCAAAAUCAUUAAAUAGAAAAUUCCAGAAAUAAACAAUUCAUAAGUUUAAAAACAUCUCUCACUGUACCCCUCCAUCCCACUUGACACAUGAAUAAUCUCUUUGUCCAGGGUACCCACACUAUCUAAACUACCAACCAUUAGUCAGUCAUUGAUUGAUAGUCAACCACCUCAGGCAUCAGAAUGACUGUGGCAGUAUUGCAGUGCUCGUAUUCAAAUAACCGGUAUUUUAUUUUAUAAUGACCUCAAAGUGCAAGAGUAGUGAUACUGGCAAUUUGGAUAUGCCAAAGAGAAGCUGCAAAGUGCUUCCUUUAAGUGAAAAGGCAAAAGUUCUCAAUUUAAUAAGGAAAAAAAUUGUAUACUGAGGGGUCUAAGAUCUGCAGUACAGUAAGAUAUUUUGAGAGGCCACAUUUACGUAAGUUUUAUUACAGUAUGGUGUUAUAUUUUUUCUAUGUCAUUAUUAUUGUUGUUAAUCUCUUACUGUGCCUAAUUAACAAAUUCAGCUUUAGCCCAGGUAUGUAUGUUUGGGAAAAAAAUAUAGCAUAGCAUAAAUAGGGUUUGGUCCUACCUACAGUUUCAGGCAUCCACUGAGGGUCUUGGAACAUAUCCCCCAGGGAUAAUGGGGGACCACUGUCAUAAGAAAAUAAAUGAAUUUAACAUUAGCUCUAUUUUUAACAUUAAUAACUGGCAACACUAGUAACGGGCCAUGCCAUAGGGACCUAUCUUUGCUUGUUUAAUGAGAAAGCAUUAAAGCUGUGUGGUAGAAAAACGCAGAACCUAACUUUUCAUAUUCUCCUAGAUAGGCAUCUAGAUUACUUAUAGUUCGUUUCAGAAUAUAACAUCAUUUACCUCAGGGAGAAACCUUUUGAGUUAAUACAAAAUGUAAUAUUAUUUUUCUUUAAAGUAAAUUUCGAGCUUCAUGGAAUUGUCAGAGAGAUAACAGAGGACACAAAUAAUUCAAGAAAAUAUAAUGAUGUGAUCCACAAUUUCUUAUAAAUGUGCAUAUUUCUUGGAAAACUCUGAGCAAAAACAUAAAUCAAAGCCAGUGUUCAUUAGCAAGGAUUUUCUUGUAUCAUCCUAUUAUUGUUUCUUUGAACAUUAUUCUACUAAUUAACAGCACUUCUACCUAGAGGUUAAUAAUGUGUGAAAAAAGUCUUAGGCCUAUUGUUUAACUUCUUAGAAACACGUUAUUUAAAAUUUUAUUUCAGCUAGUUAUUUCCACUAAUUACAAUCUCUCAACAUUCUGAUACAAUUUAUAUUUGCUUACAAACAUGUAAAGGCAUUCAUUGAAUAUUCUCCAAGACUGCUAGUAAUUUGCUUGUAUAAUAUAUCUACAUGAUGAGUUGGGAGAGUCUACAAUUUAUUCGCCACCACUUCUUUUCUUUUAGGUGUGGUUUAAAAUCCGUCAGUCUUUCUUGUAAUGCAAAUCUGCAAAGACAAAAAGAUAUUUUCUGUUUAAAAUAGUGCUGACUGUACUGCAAAUAAUUCAUGCUUUCUAACUGUCAAAUUCUCUUUUGUAAAUAAUUAUGUAUUUUUUAACCAUUAAAAAAGAUUAUAAGGCAUGCCGUAUUAUAUCAUAUUAUUGGUUUACCCAGAAGAGUGCAUGGAUUUUAUCAGUGAUUCAGUGUAUGUUUACAGAGGAUACAGUUGGCACUCAAGAUAGCAAAAUCAAUAUGAAAGGGAAGUUCAUGGAAAAAAAAGAGAACAAUUUUUUACUUGCAAUAUAAUAAAAGUCAGAACUUACACUACUUAUUUUCAGGCAUAUCUCAUGAGAAUCACAUAUCUCAUGUGAUAUGUGAUUCUCAUGUGAUAUGAAUUCACAACCACUCAAUUAAAUUACUUCACUGUUGGGUGGAUAAUAAAUAAAUAUCUUGCCCAUGAUCACAGAGUGAAUGUAAGGUAGAGGUAGAACUGAGAUUCAAACCUUUAUUUAUCAGAUUUCAUACCCCUACUCCCACAUAUAUGGCUGUACACACACACACACACACACACACACACACACACACACAUCUAUCUAUCUAUCUAUCUAUCUAUACACAUAUACAUAUAUAUAUAUACACAUAUACAUAUACAUAAUGCUACCUCUUGGAAUAGAUGCCAGAAAACUACAAUUUACCUAAGUAAUCAAUUAUUACUGUAACAUGUAUAAGUAAUAUUUUAUGUGGUUUAAAAAAUUCUGCAAUAUUGGCUGGGUGCAGUGGCUCAUGCCUUAAUCUCAGCACUUUGGGAGGCCAAAGCAGGUGGAUCACCUGAGGUCAGGAGUUCAACACCAGCCUGACCAACAUGAUGAAACCCCAUCCCUACUAAAAAAUACAAAAUGAGCUGGGCAUGGUGGUACAUGCCUGUAAUCUCAGCUACUUUGGAGUAUGAGACAGGAGAAUCGCUUGAACCUGGGAGGCUAAGGUUGCAGUGAGCCAAGAUCGCACAAUUGCACUCCAGACUGGGCAACAAGAGCAAGACUCUGUCUCAAAAAAAUAAUAAAUAAAAUUCUACACUAUUUACCAAAUUCAUCUUUUAGGAAAUUAUUUGAGUCUCGUAAAGACCCGUAAGUAUAUAUUUUAUUAAUUUGUACAGAAAUUCUGUAAAAUUCAGUCUUCUUGGAUUAGUAAACAAGUUUGUAUUUACCCUAAUUUAUAGUCUGAAUCACUAACAUUUAUUAUGUUCCCUACAAACUUCACCAUACCAGCUGGAAAAAUCCUACUUAUGUUUGUUUCAUUUAGUUUAUUAUAUUCUCAGAAAGAAUUUAACCACACGUGGAAAAAACAUUUUCUGUAUAUCUGCAAAUGUUUCAGGUCAAGUGUCCCUAUUAAGAGUGUUUGACCUUAGGUUCUUGCUGCACCAUGGGAUCUGGUGAGUGGGAUUCCAUGAAGGCCACAUUAGGCCUAUAUAAGAUGCAGAGAAUUUACUGAAAAAAAAAAAAAAAAAAAAAAAAAAAGUUUUCAAUGCUGCUCGAAAACCCAGAGGCCAAAACUUAGCUUCAAGUGAUAUUCCCAACUGGGCAUUUUAAUGCACUUCUGAGGACUCUUGAUUUAUAGAGCUUUUUUAUUGACAGAUAUUUUUCUGUGACCUAUUGUAUGGCAAACACAGUAUUUUAUACGAGGUUAACUAUUACCUAUCUGAAGUAAUAAGCUGAUAAGCAAAGGAUACCAUUGUACACACUGAAAUGUCAUUUUUUUUUUCAUAUAAUAAGCUUUAAAUACAAGCAUAUUUUCUAAGUUUUGGUCUUAGAAUAAGUUUCUUAUCUAGAAAAUGAUAUUUAAUUUGCAUUAGGCAGAUUUUCAACUGCAAGAAACAUAUUUCCAUAUUAAAAAAAAAAACUUUCCUCAGAUUAAAGGUGUUUAUGCAUACAUAAAUAUUUUAAAUAAAAUAGACAAACUAUUCUGUUCAAAGAAUCAUGCAAUUAUAUACUUAAUCUCAUUUUUAAUAUUGUUAAGUAAUUUAAAUAAUGCCAUGUUGAUUUUGAAACUGGCCCGAUUAUCCCACAGAACAAAUGUUUAUGAUUUCUUUUGAAUAAACAUAGAAAUUGACCCUCCCAGUCUUAAAACUUGAGAAAGUUACAUUUGUCUUAUCUAGUUCCUUUCUCAGUAAACCAACCAUCAGGCCUUCCAGAUAGUAUCAAAGGGCUGAAACUGACCAGAUCACUGCAUCUGGACAAUAAGAUGCCAGAUCCCUUACCCAUCAUGAUUGCCUAAGUGAACACCCGCUUCCUGUUGACCAGCUUCUCUUCCUUAUCCCUCCCUAAUUCCUGUUUUUCUGCAUAUAGGUACACAUCCUCCUUGCUGUAUGGAACCUUGAUCUUAGUCAGGAAGGUGGAUUUGAGACUGAUCUUUCAUCUCCUUUGUUACAGUACCUGAUUAAAUCCUUCUUCUCUGUCAACAGUAGUUGUCCCAAUGAUUGGCUUUCUGUACAGCAAGCAGAGUCACUUAGACCACACUGCUGGUGUUUUGGUAACAACUUCAUGCCAAUUUAAUUAGGCUAUAUACAUAUGCAUAAGCAAAUGACAGAUAGUACUUUGUCAUUACAUUCAGUCAGCAAAGAUAACUAUAUCUGUCUUAAUAACUGACAGCUUCAAAUUUGAAUUCACAGUUUAUAAAGAAAGAAAUAAUGUGUACCACCUAAGUUUAGGUGGGAGUAGAAAUAAAGAGGGCUAAUCAUAAUAGAGUAAAUUUAUUUAGUUAUAUUUUAAAUAAGCAAAUUGACUAGAUUAAUACUACAGUUGGAUAUUUUUAGAAUGAAUAAAUGGGUAAGGGAACAGAGAUCCAAAUUGGGAAAAAGAAGCUGAAGCUCUCCCAUACCCUGGAGAUAGAAGGCUUCUUUUUUUUUUAUUUUUUUUUAUUUUUUAUUUUUUAUUAUACUUUAAGUUUUAGGAUACAUGUG
rnacentral:lncRNA from 10 species